GGACCAAGGAGUCUAGCAUGUGCGCGAGUCAUUGGGAUUCUAAACUAAACCUAAAGGCGCAAUGAAAGUGAAGGUCUCGCCUCGCGCGGACCUAGGGAGGAUGGGCCGCGCCACGACGCGGCCCCGCACUCCCGGGGCGUCUCGUUCUCUUCUGAGAAGAGGCGCACCCAGAGCGUACACGCUGGGACCCGAAAGAUGGUGAACUAUGCCUGGUCAGGACGAAGUCAGGGGAAACCCUGAUGGAGGUCCGUAGCGAUUCUGACGUGCAAAUCGAUCGUCGGAACUGGGUAUAGGGGCGAAAGACUAAUCGAACCAUCUAGUAGCUGGUUCCCUCCGAAGUUUCCCUCAGGAUAGCUGGCGCUCGCUUUGCGAGUCUCAUCCGGUAAAGCGAAUGAUUAGAGGCAUUGGGGUCGAAACGGCCUCAACCUAUUCUCAAACUUUAAAUGGGUGAGAUCUCCGGCUUGCUCGAACGUGAAGCCGCGAGAUUCAUUCGAAAAAGGAUCAGAGUGCCAAGUGGGCCACUUUUGGUAAGCAGAACUGGCGCUGUGGGAUGAACCAAACGCAGAGUUAAAGCGCCUAAAUCGACGCUUAUGGGAUACCAUGAAAGGCGUU
rnacentral:rRNA from 1 species